CAGAUGGCAAACCAGGAAAACAGAGCUCAGUACAGAAGGGAGUUGGGCAGCCUCUGUUCCUGUUUGGCUCUGUCCUUGAAGAAAGUGAUAAGAAGUGCACAGAUUUUGGAAUUAAACAGACCAUGGUUUGAAGUCUGGAUCUUCCAGUUGUAACCAGGGCCUAUGGUUCAUCCUGCAAUAUCAGAGAAUACACAACUGUUGGAAGCUCAUUUGUGCAGAAGCACUAGUUAGACCAAGUCCCAGGAUGGUGGGGACUUGAACUGCCUCAUGCACAUUGUACCCAAGAGCCUGGCCCAUGAAGGUGAAUCAGUGGAUACUUGAAUAAAAAGAAGAAUAUGCGCUGAAG
rnacentral:lncRNA from 1 species